GCAGCUGUGGGGCAUUCUUGAGCGGUGUGGAUCGGGUUACCCACGCGUGCCGAUUUGGCGCCCACUUUGUUUGAGCUGGAGAAGAGAUUGAGAGCCUGGGCGCGGAGGUCAAACAAACCCAGCUUCCAGUGCCUACUCAGCAUCACUCCCGAGCCGGGUGAUCCAUUCCAGCCCGGGCUACUUAAUCUCCGUGCGUCUCAGUUUCCGCGUCUGUAAAGUGGGGGUAAUGAGUACCCUCAUUUGUUGCGGUGGAAGUAGGGGUUAAACGACACUAUAAAUCAACUGGCACAGUGACUGCCACGUACUAAACGCUGGAAUAAUGUUUUCCUGUUAAAGAGACUCAAUUGCAGAGCAAGGUCUCUCAUCUCUUUCCUUUUCUGCAAUUUUCUAUUCUCCCAGCUCCUCUUCUAUUUUAAAAAGCAGGAGAGAUUGCUUUUUUUCAGCUUCAAACAGGACUUGGUUGACUUGACCUUAGACUUCAGUAUACUUAUCUAAUCUAAUCGCUUACAGUUCCUUUUUUUUUUUUUUUUUGCCUGGGUGUGGAGGAGGAAUCCUUGGCCAGGUGGGGAGCCUGGUGAACCAAUGGCCGCUGUGCAAAGUAGGUGAAACCCGAUGGAGGGAGGUUUGAACAAAGAGGUACCUGGAGGCAAGCAGGGAACACUUCCUGGUAGAAGUGAAAUCUGAGCCGUGUCUUGUAGCAGAAGCUGGGUCAAUCGCUGGUUUCUAGAAUAUGCUGUCUUGUACCCCACCAUCAAGAGCUUCAGCCAGGGAGGUUGUCUUGGAGUGGUAAACACCCGAGUUGCUAGGUAAUUAUCUUUGAAUAGAAGAGAAAUAUACCUACGGAGGGGGCUGCUGACUAACUAGGGAAGGGAGAAGAGGCGAAUUGAUUUCAUUGAAUAUCUUCAAAAUGCUGUCAGUGUGUUUUGACUUUGCUUUUUCUCUGCUCCACUGGCUCAGCAUUGCUCAUUUCCUUCAGGCGAAGGGAGAAGCCAGUUUCAUACCGGAAAAACGAAAACAAGCAAAGCCCCUCAAUAACCCAUAAUCAGAUGAAUACAUGGUUUGAAAAAGACAGUCUCAGGCUUGGCUCCGGAAUAAGAUACGGAGAAAAAUGCUUCCUGUUUCAACACCCUUUUUUGCCUGUUGGGGCAAAUUAUUGAGCUGGGUCCAUAACGCAUCCUUUGAAUAUAGACCAAGGGGCCUUUAAUGGCCAAAACAAACAAACAAGCAAACAAAACACCAAAAACUAAUCAAGAGAAUGGUCUGUGUAGUGGGGGCAGAAGCCCACAGGGAAUGUUCCCCAAACCCUUGGCUCCCCAGGGCCUGUCGGGUCACCCCAAGCGGAAGCUGCCUCUUACAGGCUCUGGGGCCAGGAGCACUACUGUUCCAUGCCAGUGAAUAAAUAAGAUAACCUAUUUCAGGCUCCACUCCUAGAAGUGAUUCCGAGCCUUCCCACACUUGUUCUGGGAAUUCUCUGGCCCUUAGGGACGCUUGAAGGCCGCUUUGCCCCCUGCUGCAGUCUGGGGAUCAAAUCCCUGGGGGGGGGGGGCUAGACUUAAAAGGGAGCACGUGGUUGGGAAAUCUCAUUAGCUGACAAUUUAACUCCACUCUAAUGUGCCUCCAAAGAGCCUGGACAAAGACUUCCUCAACCCUCCCUCCCCCACAGUAGUCUCUCCCAGUGCCCCACCUCUCCCCUCCCCCUCCAAAACCAGAAAGGGGAUGCCUGGAUGGCCUGUGCCCACCCCCGCAGCCCCCAGCCCCCAAAUUCCUGCAGUUCUAGUGAGCAGACGUAACCCCAGGCAUUCUGGAGUGCCUGAGCUGGAAUUCCUCCCCCAGAGCUUUGCCCUGGGCCAGCUGGGUGCACGUGGUAACAACCUCCUUUGCAAAGUAACGCACCUUUCCUUUCCAAACCUCAGCAGCUUACUUACAAGUUAAGCCAGAAGGAGGAUUUUGUGAAUGAGGUGUGCAGGUCAGAGCAUGGGGAAUCACAUCCAGGCCUCACUUGGAAGUCAGUGGUGGCAGGGAGCUUCUGCCUGAGAACACAGGAGGCAGAGGCGUUCUCUCGUCCUCUGGCGCAGCGGAAACGAAUCCAACUAGGAACCAGGAGGUUGCAGGUUCGAUCCCUGGCCUCGCUUAGUGGGUUAAGGAUCUGGUGUUGCCAUGAGCUGUGGUGUAGGUCACAGAUGAGGCUCGGAUCACUGUGGCUGUGGUGUAGGC
rnacentral:lncRNA from 1 species